rnacentral:lncRNA from 1 species
AAAGUGAGCUGAAAAGGUUGUAAUGAAUGAACCAGUGCAGCAGUGACACUGUGCAUCCCUGGCAGCUGCCUUUUGGUAUAGGCUAAAGCAACUGAAGUGUCUGCUUUCACACUCAGGUCCUUUGAAGAUAGACACUACAGAGCAUUCGCUCUCAGCUUUGGAGACAUGAACUGUCCUUUUACUGGACAAAGUGAGCUUUGUUGCAUAAAACUGUGGUUUGGAACUAACACUUACUCUGGAGCAAAGAAUCCAUUGAAAGAGUUUGAAAAACUCCAGUCAAUAAGGCAGAGACUUUUCUUUGAGUACCAGAGAGACAAGAAAUCACACCAUUUAAAAGAAAGAGGCAGCAAGGAUUCUCCCUCUUGCAACAACUAUUCAGCCACAGGAGUUUCUGAGCCUGUCCCAAGAAAGGAUUCCUGA